rnacentral:rRNA from 1 species
CCCUUAGAUGUCCUGGGCCGCACGCGCGCUACACUGAUGCAUUCAACGAGUUUUACCUUGGCCGAGAGGCCUGGGCAAUCUUUUAAACCUGCAUCGUGAUAGGGAUAGAUUAUUGCAAUUAUUAAUCUUCAACGAGGAAUUCCUAGUAAGCGCGAGUCAUCAGCUCGUGCUGAUUACGUCCCUGCCCUUUGUACACACCGCCCGUCGCUCCUACCGAUUGAGUGCUCAGGUGAAUAAUUCGGACUGCAGCAAUGUUUGGAUCCCGAACGUUGCAGCGGAAAGUUUAGUGAACCUUAUCACUUAGAGGAAGGAGAAGUCGUAACA